GUUGAUUUUGAUUUAUUCUGUCUGUAGUCUCUGUUUUUGAGAUUUAGACUUAUAAAAGUACAAAAACAGAGGAGACCAUCUGCUGUUGUGAGAUGUUGAAGUCACAAUAAUUUGCCAAUUUCAGAAGUUUAAAGCAGUUCUCAAUGGGAUUGCAACACCUCAACUCGCCUCUCUCCAGCAUCUUGCUAUUGAUAACUGCCCAAAGAUGCCCAAGGAAGAUUAUUAGAAGAGGCCCCUUAUCUCCCAUAUCCCCCAGGAAUUAUAAAAUUAAUAUGAAGGUAGACAAAUCAACUUUCAUGGGUAUAUCCAGAGGGUUUUCUCCACUUCCAACGAGUUGUAUUUGAAACAUUUCUAUUUAUGUGCAAGAGCUCUUUCGAAUAAAAAAGAUUGGAGUUGUAUUUUCAUGGGGAAGGUUGAUGGGUUUUGAGGUGCUCUCUUCGAUUUUCUUUUAGUUUAGUUGGAUCCUGGACCUUCCCACUUUGAAUUCCUUUUAGUUGCAUCUUUUAGCUACCUUUUUGAGUUUUUACUUUACAAGUUUAUCUAAGAGAAAACUGGCUAUUAAUAUAGACAUACGGUUUACAGAUGAUACAGUGUGUUAGCAAGUGUUUCUCACAGUUUCAAAUAGAAAAAAUGUAGUUCCCUUAACUUUUGCUUUAGCUUGCAUUUAGCCUUUAAUUUUAAAAUCUUUAAAUAAUUAAUUAUCGGAAUUUUUUAAUACAACUUGAGUAAACACUAAACAAAUAACAACUUUCAUAUUAUGAUUGAUUAAAUGUAAGGAACAGCAACUUAUUUUCAUAAGUUUGUCUUACUGCUUUCAGUUUCACUACACGUAAACAAAUAACAAAUUUAUUAAAGUAGAACUAAACGCGGAAUACCCCUAGUUAGAAACAAACCUUCGUAAUUUUCGUUAAAGUCGACCUAUAUUUAACAGUUACCAAAGAGCUCUAGUUUCUCGACUUCUCUGCUCCGACAUCACAAGUGAUAUCGUCAUCUUCAGACUCGUCGUUAUCGGCCAUAUCAUCUGAACCACGGAUGUGAAACUUUAUGAGAUCGAAAUUUAUGAAAUUAAGACCGAGAGAAGUUUGUCAACAGAAGGGGAAAAUGUAAUUGGAGAAGCAUAAUACUCACCAUUGACGUGAUCCACAAAUUGGAAAUGAAAAAUGCCACUUAGAUCGGAAAGGCGAAAGAAGUUGAGAUUGGGGGGAAAAAAUUCAUCUGGCCUUGCGAUUCAUGUCAUCUUGUCAGCCUCUGUAACCCCCUUUUUUUCACUGUAGAUCUGGAAAGUAUCUUAGAAGUCUUCAGUCAAUGAAUAAACAAAACAAAAACAAGUUUACUUAAUUCAAAUAAUCAGAUAGAGAGAGAAUGUGGAGAGAGAAACCAUGUGAGAGGGAAAGAAAAACUGUUGUGGGAGAGCAGAGACGAGUAGAAGCUCAAAAGGCCAUGUGCAUUUGAAAACAAUUUAUAUAUAUAGUAUAUAAAGUGACACACAA